rnacentral:rRNA from 1 species
GCGAAAGUCCCGCAAGGGAUAAGUAGAGUGGCAAACGGGUGAGUAACACGUGGGUGACCUGCCUUCGAGCGGGGGAUAACGUCCCGAAAGGGACGCUAAUACCGCAUAACAUCCUGCCUUUGAAGAGGCGGUGAUCAAAGCUGGGGAUCGCAAGACCUAGCACUCGAAGAGGGGCCCGCGUCCGAUUAGCUAGUUGGUGAGGUAAUGGCUCACCAAGGCAACGAUCGGUAGCCGGCCUGAGAGGGCGGACGGCCACACUGGGACUGAGACACGGCCCAGACUCCUACGGGAGGCAGCAGUGGGGAAUUGUUCGCAAUGGGCGCAAGCCUGACGACGCAACGCCGCGUGGAGGAUGAAGAUCUUCGGGUCGUAAACUCCUUUCGAUCGAGACGAAUUCCUUCGGGGUGAACAAUCCCGGAGGUUGACGGUACCGAGAGAAGAAGCCCCGGCUAACUCCGUGCCAGCAGCCGCGGUAAUACGGGGGGGGCAAGCGUUGUUCGGAAUUACUGGGCGUAAAGGGCUCGUAGGUGGCCAACUAAGUCAGACGUGAAAUCCCUCGGCUUAACCGGGGAACUGCGUCUGAUACUGGUUGGCUUGAGUUUGGGAGAGGGAUGCGGAAUUCCAGGUGUAGCGGUGAAAUGCGUAGAUAUCUGGAGGAACACCGGUGGCGAAGGCGGCAUCCUGGACCAACACUGACGCUGAGGAGCGAAAGCCAGGGGA